UUUGAUAUCUUGGCUGUGUGCUUAGGGUCACUGUCCUGCUGAAAGAUGAACCAUCACCCCAAUGUGAGGUGAAGAGCACUCAGGAGCAGAUUUUUUAUCCAGGAUGUCUCUGUACAUUGCUGCAUUCAUCUUUCCCUCAAUCUUGACUAGUCUCCCAGUUCCUGCCA